GGAGAGAUGGCUCAGUGGUUAAGAGCACUGACUGCCCUUCCAGAGGUCCUGAGUUCAAAUCCCAGUCUCACAA
rnacentral:tRNA from 1 species